rnacentral:rRNA from 1 species
ACGACGCUGGCGGCGUGCCUAACACAUGCAAGUCAACUUGACUGAAGGAGCAAUCUGACAGUAGAGUGGCGCAAGGUGCGUAACGCGUAAGUAACUUGCCCAAGGUAAGGAAUAACGUCGAGAAAUCGGCGCUAAUACCUCAUAAUGCAGCGGAUCCGCAUGGAUAUGUUGUUAAAGGUUUACCGCCUUGGGAUAGGCUUGCGUCUGAUUAGCUAGUUGGUGUGGUAACGGCACACCAAGGCUACGAUCAGUAACUGGUCUGAGAGGAUGAUCAGUCACACUGGAACUGAGACACGGUCCAGACUCCUACGGGAGGCAGCAGUGAGGAAUAUUGGGCAAUGCUCGAAAGAGUGACCCAGCAACGCCGCGUGGAGGAUGAAGGUAUUCUACAUCGUAAACUCCUGUGAGAGCAGACGAAAGACAGAUUAUUAAUCUGGAUGACUGUAUGCUCAGAGGAAGCCCCGGCUAACUACGUG